UGGAGUGGUAGGAACCAGGAAGGAGCAGGGACAACCGCCGGUGAGGAGGUCGAGCAAGUGAACAGCUACCUCUCACGUUGUGCCCUGACAACCAAAUAUAUGUCCAAAGCAGCACGGGUGGACAUGCUUACAUUGCAUGCAAUGGGGUGGAACCACAAAAAACGUCUCUCUCUACAUCAGUCACUUUCAACAAGAUAUGUGAAGACUUGUCAGAGACUCCGGGAUGAAACGGCAAGGCUAGCUGAACUAAAAACAGAGUUACUUUGCAAAGAUGA